rnacentral:lncRNA from 1 species
GGAGACACAAGAGGAACAGCCUCCUGCUCUGCUUCCCCAUGCUGCCCUCCCGUGCACAGCCCUGCUCACCAGGUUGCUGGUCUGCCAGCCAUGCCCGUGGCUGUGUGGGGCUGCCUGUUUCCCCAAGCCUGGGUGCAAAGCGGCACGGCAAUCAGCAGGCCAGGUGCCAGCACCUAGAGUGGGUCCCCUGCUCAGCUAACUAAUAUCAACUGUUGGGGUGAGGGCAGGGGUGUCUUGGGGAGCAGUUAGGGGCCCUUCGGGCCUACGAAGGAUACCGUUUCUGGCUGACUUAUCUGUCUGGUAUGGCAUGGAGACCGGUUAGAGAGCUGAGGACAGGCGCAUGUCCAGCUCUGGUUCCAUCUUGGAGUAGACACCCAUCUGCAGUGCAGAGAGGAAGGACGAAAGGAGCAGCCUCCUGCCCUGCUUCUCUGCUCUGCCCUCCCCUGCACAGCCCCGCUCACCUGGUUCCUGGUCUGAAAAUGGUUUCCUUGGCCAUUUUGUGCUCACUGUGUCAGCAGCGCCACAUUGACACGGCCACUGCAGUUAUAUGCGGUGUGGUGCCGGCACCUGCAGAGGGAUGAGGAGUCAGACAAGCAGAGUUAAAGGUAUGGGUUAAGAGCAGGGGGAUGCUAUGGAGCUUCCAUGGGCCUGUAGGUGCAAGACAGGGUACAAAUUGGGCGUGACUUAUCUUUUUUGUAGGACAUGAACACCAGUUUGUCAAAUGGAGCUCAGGCCCUGGUGGUCAUCUGUUUCCAUCGGUGUUGGGCUGUCCAUCUGCAAGGCAGAUGGGAGGCAGGAGAGGAACAGCCUCCUGCUCUGCUUCCCCGUGCUGCCCUCCCGUGCACAGCCCUGCUCACCAGGUUGCUGGUCUGCCAGCCAUGCCCGUGGCUGUGUGGGGCUGCCUGUUUCCCCAAGCCUGGGUGCAAAGCGGCACGGCAAUCAGCAGGCCUGGUGCCAGCAUCUAGAGUGGGUCCCCUGCUCAGCUAACUAAUAUCAACUGUUGGGGUGAGGGCAGGGGUGUCUUGGGGAGCAGUUAGGGGUCCUUCGGGCCUACGAAGGAUACCGUUUGUGGCUGACUUAUCUGUCUUGUAUGGCAUGGAGACCGGUUAGAGAGCUGAGGACAGGCGCAUGUCCAGCACUGGUUCAAUCUUGGAGUAGACACCCAUCUGCAAUGCAGAGAGGAAGGACGAAAGGAGCAGCCUCCUGCCCUGCUUCUCUGCUCUGCCCUCCCCUGCACAGCCCCGCUCACCGAGUUCCUGGUCUGAAAAUGUUUUCCUUGGCCAUUUUGGGCUCACUGUGUCAGCAGCGCCACAUUGACACGGCCACUGCAGUUAUAUGCGGUGUGGUGCCGGCACCUGCAGAGGGAUGGGGAGUCAGACAAGCAGAGUUAAAGGUUUGGGUUAAGAGCAGGGGGAUGCUAUGGAGCUUCCAUAGGCCUGUAGGUGCAAGACAGGCUAGAGUUUGAGCGUGACUUAUCUUUUUUGUAGGACGUGAACACCAGUUUGUCAAAUGGAGCUCAGGCCCUGGUGGUCAUCUGUUUCCGUUGGUGUUGGGCUGUCCAUCUGCAAGGCAGAUGAGAG